UACAGAGGUCUCAACCGUUGUUCUGAUUCAUUGGGCGUAAAGGGUGCGUAGGCGGUCGUGCAAGUCGGAUGUGAAAUCUCAGGGCUCAACCCUGAAACUGCAUUCGAUACUGCGCGGCUAGAGUGCUGGAGGGGAGACUGGAAUUUACGGUGUAGCAGUGAAAUGCGUAGAUAUCGUAAGGAGGACCAGUGGCUAAGGCGAGUCUCUGGACAGCAACUGACGCUGAGGCACGAAGGCCAGGGGAGCAAACGGG
rnacentral:rRNA from 1 species